rnacentral:rRNA from 1 species
GAUGAACGCUGGCGGCGUGCUUAACACAUGCAAGUCGAACGGUGAACACGGAGCUUGCUCUGUGGGAUCAGUGGCGAACGGGUGAGUAACACGUGAGCAACCUGCCCCUGACUCUGGGAUAAGCGCUGGAAACGGCGUCUAAUACUGGACAUGUGACGUGACCGCAUGGUCUGCGUUUGGAAAGAUUUUUCGGUUGGGGAUGGGCUCGCGGCCUAUCAGCUUGUUGGUGAGGUAAUGGCUCACCAAGGCGUCGACGGGUAGCCGGCCUGAGAGGGUGACCGGCCACACUGGGACUGAGACACGGCCCAGACUCCUACGGGAGGCAGCAGUGGGGAAUAUUGCACAAUGGGCGCAAGCCUGAUGCAGCAACGCCGCGUGAGGGAUGACGGCCUUCGGGUUGUAAACCUCUUUUAGCAGGGAAGAAGCGAAAGUGACGGUACCUGCAGAAAAAGCGCCGGCUAACUACGUG